UGCUGCUCUACUUACCACUCCUCCAUGCACACACACACACCUCCACACACCCGCACACAUACAAACACACACACACUUUAAAGAGUCACUAAUGUCUGGAUUCUUAAAAAAAAACUUUAAAAACACAAUGAUCCCCGUUAAAGACCAGUCGCCCCAUUUUCACCACAAACACGUUCGUUUGAAACACAAUAUAAGCGCACCUACGAGACCGUCUCCAGUUACAUUCGCCAGAGACGACGAACGACUAACAAGGAUGAGCACUGUUUUAUUGAAAAAAAAAAAACAAAACAAUUUGCAGGUUUAACUGGCCGUGCGGAGAGGCUGCAGGAUCUUAACGACAGCCUCAACAAAGCAGAGAGCCGAGAAACUGAAGAAGCAGCGGUGUACCCCAACCAAGCUCCACCUGUGACCAUUGCACCUCCGCGGGUUGAAGACGGUUUAAACCCGGGUCCAAAACCUGCGGUGUUUCACAGAUAAAUCAGUGACAUCAAGCAGGUGUGAAGUACGAUAAUAGAGAGAACCACCGGAGCAGAGGACCUGGUCUGCGGAGAAGCCAAACAUCCAGUGAGGUUCAGACCCCAGCCAUACGCCCGCUGCUGACCGUCUGUCCCAGGACAAACAGGCUCUACAGGAGUCGAACGAUUCGUUUGGGAGGAGCAAGACAGCAAGAGUCGGUUGCUGUAGGCCGGUGGUGGCGGUGCUGGUGACCUGGUGGUGGUGUCCUCCUGUCGUAUCUUGCUGUGUCCCCUGGGAGUGGGUUUCUUCACUGAGGGUGUGUCUGCCACGUGUGCCUUGUGAUUUAGUUAAAGUUAUUUUUGCCUUAUUUUGGUGGAUCCUGCCCCUGCACUAGCCCUUGCCCAUCCAC